GACGAACGCUGGCGGCGCGCCUAACACAUGCAAGUCGAACGGAGUCAAGAGGAGCUUGCUUUUCUUGACUUAGUGGCGAACGGGUGAGUAACGCGUGAGUAACCUGCCCUGGAGUGGGGGACAACAGUUGGAAACGACUGCUAAUACCGCAUAAGCCCACGGAUCCGCAUGGAUCUGCGGGAAAAGGAUUUAUUUGCUUCAGGAUGGACUCGCGUCCAAUUAGCUAGUUGGUGAGGUAACGGCCCACCAAGGCGACGAUUGGUAGCCGGACUGAGAGGUUGAACGGCCACAUUGGGACUGAGACACGGCCCAGACUCCUACGGGAGGCAGCAGUGGGGGAUAUUGCACAAUGGGGGAAACCCUGAUGCAGCGACGCCGCGUGGAGGAAGAAGGUUUUCGGAUUGUAAACUCCUGUCGUUAGGGACGAUAAUGACGGUACCUAACAAGAAAGCACCGGCUAACUACGUG
rnacentral:rRNA from 1 species